ACAAAAGCCAGAGGGUACUUAAAACUGAUGAAACGACCAGACGUGAUUACUUUCCUUCACCUGCUGCUUGAUAUGUUUGGACCCCCUUGCGUUCUCUCCCUCACUCUGCAGUCAGAUCAGACAACUUUGGCCGAUGUUGGUGAAAAAAUUGAAGUCACUAAAGAUGCAUUCAUCUCCUUCAAAGAAAGUCAUGGUCCAAGACUAAGGCACUUUUUUAAAAGAUCACGAAGUAG